UACGUAGGGUGCAAGCGUUGUCCGGCUUUAUUGGGCGUAAAGAGCGUGUAGGCGGCCAUACAGGUCAGCUGUGAAAACUCGAGGCUCAACCUCGAGACGUCGGUUGAAACCGUAUGGCUAGAGUCCGGAAGAGGAGAGUGGAAUUCCCGGUGUAGCGGUGAAAUGCGCAGAUAUCGGGAAGAACACCCGUGGCGAAGGCGGCUCUCUGGGACGGUACUGACGCUGAGACGCGAAAGCGUGGGGAGCGAACAGG
rnacentral:rRNA from 1 species